rnacentral:rRNA from 1 species
CCGGCCACGGAUGGGCAUGCGGCGCAUUAGCUAGUCGGCGGGGUAACGGCCCACCGAGGCGACGAUGCGUAGGGGUUCUGAGAGGAAGGCCCCCCACACUGGUACUGAGACACGGACCAGACUCCUACGGGAGGCAGCAGUGAGGAAUAUUGGUCAAUGGGCGCGAGCCUGAACCAGCCAAGUCGCGUGAGGGAGGACGGCCCUACGGGUUGUAAACCUCUUUUGCCGGGGAGCAACGGGCGUCACGUGUGGCGCCACUGAGAGUACCCGGAGAAAAAGCAUCGGCUAACUCCGUGCCAGCAGCCGCGGUAAUACGGAGGAUGCGAGCGUUAUCCGGAUUUAUUGGGUUUAAAGGGUGCGUAGGCGGAUCGUUAAGUCAGUGGUCAAAUUGAGGGGCUCAACCCCUUCCCGCCAUUGAAACUGGCGUUCUUGAGUGGAAGAGAAGUAUGCGGAAUGCGUGGUGUAGCGGUGAAAUGCAUAGAUAUCACGCAGAACCCCGAUUGCGAAGGCAGCAUGCCGGCUUCCGACUGACGCUGAAGCACGAAAGCGUGGGGAUCGAACAGGAUUAGAUACCCUGGUAGUCCACGCGGUAAACGAUGAGCGCUAGGUGUCCGGGGGGAAUGGC